rnacentral:rRNA from 1 species
UACGUAGGGGGCAAGCGUUGUCCGGAAUCAUUGGGCGUAAAGCGCGCGUAGGCGGCCCGGUCAGUCCGUUGUGAAAGUCAAAGGCUCAACCUUUGAAUGCCGACGGGUACUGCCGGGCUAGAGUCCGGAAGAGGCGAGUGGAAUUCCUGGUGUAGCGGUGGAAUGCGCAGAUAUCAGGAGGAACACCUAUAGCGAAGGCAGCUCGCUGGGACGGUACUGACGCUGAGGCGCGAAAGCGUGGGGAGCGAACAGG